GGGCUCCACAGCAGCACAUAUAUAAAAUUUAGAAGGCAACAGAGAAGCUUAGCAUGGCCCCUGUGCAAGAAUGCCGCAUAAAUUCCUGAAGCAUCUCCUAUUUUU
ensembl:snRNA U6 U6 spliceosomal RNA